CCCAAUAAUUUGCUAAUAAUCAUACUUAUUUGAAAACCAGGUAUUACCCAUACUUUCCUCCAACUUAUUCAAUAUAUAGUUAAUUAAAUACGCCUUCGCCCAUUUAGUACUAAAUUGCAAGUUUCGACAUACUAAAACGCUGUUUUCUGACAAUUAGAAUUCUGUCAAAUAUUCCCCAAAGUCCAGGAAUUCGAAAUGGCAUUUCAGAGACUCUAAAUUUAAAAAUUUCCUUGGGCC